rnacentral:rRNA from 1 species
UCGGGAAUUUUGGGCAAUGGGCGAAAGCCUGACCCAGCAACGCCGCGUGAAGGAUGAAGUAUUUCGGUAUGUAAACUUCGAAAGAAUAGGAAGAAUAAAUGACGGUACUAUUUAUAAGGUCCGGCUAACUACGUGCCAGCAGCCGCGGUAAUACGUAGGGACCAAGCGUUGUUCGGAUUUACUGGGCGUAAAGGGCGCGUAGGCGGCAUGACAAGUCACUUGUGAAAUCUCUGGGCUUAACCCAGAACGGCCAAGUGAUACUGUCGCGCUAGAGUGCAGAAGGGGCAAUCGGAAUUCUUGGUGUAGCGGUGAAAUGCGUAGAGAUCGGGAGGAACAUCAGUGGCGAAGGCGGCCAUCUGGAUCAACACUGACGCUGAGGCACGAAAGCGUGGGGAGCAAACAGGAUUAGAUACCCGUGUAGUCCCUGAGCGGGCUGGCAAGGCGCAU